CCUACGGGUGGCAGCAGUGAGGAAUAUUGGUCAAUGGGCGCGAGCCUGAACCAGCCAAGUAGCGUGAAGGAUGACUGCCCUACGGGUUGUAAACUUCUUUUAUAAAGGAAUAAAGUGAGGCACGUGUGCCUUUUUGUAUGUACUUUAUGAAUAAGGAUCGGCUAACUCCGUGCCAGCAGCCGCGGUAAUACGGAGGAUCCGAGCGUUAUCCGGAUUUAUUGGGUUUAAAGGGAGCGUAGAUGGGUUGUUAAGUCAGGUGUGAAAGUUUGCGGCUCAACCGUAAAAAUGCAAUUGAUACUGGCAGUCUUGAGUACAGGUGAGGGAGGCGGAAAUCGUGGUGUAGCGGUGAAAUGGUUAGAUAUCGCGAAGAACUCCGAUUGCGAAGGCAGGUUACUAAACUUGCACUGACAUUGAUGCAUGAAAGGGUGGGUAUCGAACAGGAUUAGAUACCCGGGUAGUC
rnacentral:rRNA from 1 species